rnacentral:lncRNA from 1 species
CCUGAGUGACAGGGAUUACAGGUAUGCACUAAUGCACCUGGUUUAAGUUACCUUACUAUUAAAACAAUUCUGAGAAAACAUUUUUUUUCCCGUAAUAUAUAUAUUUUUUAAGUCUAUUUUCUUCAUUUGGAGACCACAUUGAUCAGAAGGGAUUUUCUUUCUUUUUUUUUUUUUGGCGGGGGGGCGGGGUACUGGGGAUUGAAUCCAGGGGUGUUUAACCAUUGAGCCACAUCCCCAGCCCUUUUUUAUAUUUUAUUUAGAGACAGGGUCUCACUGAGUUGCUGAGGAGGCUAGCUUUGAACUCGUGAUCCUCUGGCCUCAGCCUCCGUCCCAAGCUGCUGGACCUGGCGGGUUGUUUUGGAUUUGUUUUUGUUUUUUUUUUUCUCUUGAAAUCCUCUAGAUAUGAAAAUAAGAGACAGGCCCAGAGUACCCAAAGCCCAGGGGUGGACAGUCUUUCUUUCUUUCUCUCUUUUUUUUUUCUUAUAAGGAACAGAAAGCAAAGGAAAUGCUUUGUAUGCUUUUAUCUCUUUACGGGCUGACAUCUGUAACUUGAUUUUUAAAAUUAAAUGUGACAGUUAUUCAAAAAUAUAAAACUCAAACUCUAAGGAAGGCAUAAGGUAAAAAGACUUUUUUUCCUCCAGUCCCUAAGUUUAAGCCCCAAACCACAAAAAUAAAUGAAAAUAAAGUAACACAGUUUUAUAACUGAAUUAUGCAUUUAAUAUUUGGUAGGGAUAUUCUAUUUAUUUGUUUACUUUUAUUUUGGUACUGGGGAUUGAACCUAGGGGCAUUUUCUCCACCACUGAACUAGGUGGGGAUAUUCUUUCUUGGAUGAAGGUGAAAUGUGACCCUGGAGAGAGAGGACCAGCAUCCUCCUGGUGGCGCCUGUGACAUGGCCACGGAGAGAGAGGCUUGAAGCCAGGAAGAAGAUUCCUGGACCUCACAGGCCGAAGCUGGAGUGGAGGAGUGGCCAAGCAGCAGGAGCCCUGAUGGACAGAUCAAAGGCAAGGGGGUGGGGGAGGCUCUCUUCACAGCUGAUGGACAUAAGCAGAAGGAAAGCCAGGCAGGGCUGAUGGAAUCUCCAUGGUGACCAGAAUCCCUGGACAGGCCUUCUCAGGGCUGCCUCCCAGCUCCCUGCUGUGACCCAACAUGGGGUGCUUAAGUGCCCAAUAAAUCGC